UACGUAGGGUCCGAGCGUUGUCCGGAAUUACUGGGCGUAAAGAGCUCGUAGGUGGUUUGUCGCGUUGUUCGUGAAAACUCACAGCUUAACUGUGGGCGUGCGGGCGAUACGGGCAGACUUGAGUACUGCAGGGGAGACUGGAAUUCCUGGUGGUAGCGGUGGAAUGCGCAGAUAUCAGGAGGAACACCGGUGGCGAAGGCGGGUCUCUGGGCAGUAACUGACGCUGAGGAGCGAAAGCGUGGGGAGCGAACAGG
rnacentral:rRNA from 1 species